CUUUUGUUUUCUUUAAGGCAGUUUUAUAAUAAGAUAAUUCAACACUGUCUCUGGGUCUGUCUUUUGUGUAACAUUUGCAAGAGGGGCCACAAUUAAAGUAAAAAAUGUUUUAUUUUUCAUGUCAUUAUUCAAUACUAGAAAAGAGAAGGAGAGACAGAUGGAAUCAGAGAGGCAGGGAUACACCUGCACUCUUAAGUCUGCCUGUGUGAUGCUGUGCAACUUCAGUUCUCUGUGGUAGAAGACCAUUGCCAGACAUAAAUUUCCCACCCUUGCAAAAAACAGAUGCGGAGUCUUAAGAUAUGCCCACAGUCUUUGACUUUCUCUUGGAGCUCUGAAGUCAGGAUUUGCAUUGGAAAACAGCAAGCAUGGGAAAAAAGUAGAGAGAAAAGAUUCUGGCCAGUAAACCCUACUUUGUCAAGUCCUUUAAAUUUCACAGGCUGUAAGGCUUUGACAGGUAUGUAAUAAUUAAAAUGUACUUCAACUGUAAUUGAGUAAGUUGUUUUAAGUUAUGCUUCAGUGCAUUUCUCUCUAUGCUUUGUUUCACUGCCUUUAUAUUUUUACAUUUUGAUUAGAAAUGAGUUCAGAAUUACAAAAACAUGACCUGGAUAGAACAGAGUUUUCUUGUACGUCCUCAUCAGUGAACAAAUUCUCUUAUGUCACGGGCCCAAUGAAGUAAGUCAAAACCAAAGCAAGCCCUGCAUUGACUAGUUGACUUCAAUUCAGGAAAACUGCAUGGAACAGGUCAGUCUGCAUCCUAGUAAUCAGGGAUCAAGGGAGGAGGCAAAGAGGUAUCCCCUUCAGGCCACAUCCCUAGUGACACAACUUUUCCCACCAGGUUUCAGCUUCCAAUAUCAAAUUAGCAAAUUGAGCAACACUGGCAGCAUACAGGAUGAAAGAUUGCUGAGAGUCAAGGCCUGAGAACAAAAAUGAAUUUUUGUAGGAGCUUUGGCCAAGGUAUAGGCAAUAAGUCAGAUGAAUUGCUACAUGGCAUAUCCUGACAUGGUUUAAGCGAGGUUAUCAAUGUAGAGAGAAUAUGGUGGCCAAAACAAGCAUCUCUGAAAGUAUCUUCCUUUUAUUUCUACUGACUUUUGUCCUUCAGAGCUGCUCUAAUAUUUAAACAUGCAUUCCAGGAACCUCUGACUCUUGUCGAGAGGGUCCCUUCCUCUUCAUAUUCACACAAGUCACUCUCUUGACCAGAGACUUUAUACAUCUUCCCAUUUUCUGUUUUAUUAUCCAGAAUAAGCAGAAGAGAGUACAGAGUAAAAAAGUAUUGAGUUUGGCAUAGGAAGGUCAUCUUGGUUUCCUCACAGAGCUUUCAUUCAAACAGUCUAAGAAAUGCUUUUAGGACUGCAAGAAACAGCAGGAAAAGAUUAUUCAAAUAGCUGUAAAAAUCCAAAUGCAAAUGUUGAGAUUAGGGAUCCAAUUUUAAACCUGAACCAGUAAGACAUGUCAUUGAGAUGGUUUAAAGCCAUGUUCCAAGCCUCCAUUUGAAGUUUAUUAAUUUGAGCUUGAAAUUGGCCUCCUAUCUUCAAAUUUGUAUGAAAGGCACCAUGAGAAGGUAAUGGAACUCCUGAUGAGAUUCAGAAUGGUUGAAAGGGAUACACAGUGCACACUGAGUGAUACCUAGCGUGGCAACUAAGCUGACUACAUGUCUGCUGAUGUUCCCUGAGUCAGCGAACCGCCUGCCUCAAGUAUGUCAAGUCUUUGUAGGAUUUAUUAAUAUUAGUUUGAGUUGAUAAUUCUCAGGUAACAUUUUGGAGUUAACCAUUUAUAGUUUUAGCAGCCUGGCCAAAGUGAGACAAAAUAAUUGUUGCUGUGAUUGCAGUAGUGGCAAAUGUGGUGGCUGCAAUAAUAGCUGCAAUCAAAAUGCCUAGCAAGCACUUUUUCUGGUAUGUUUAAGUACUGAGAUAAUCUAUUCAAGAGAAUAACUUUCCAUCCACCCUUGAAUGAGAUUGGUGAGGAGAGUCAGGCGUAGUGGCUCACACCUAUAAUCCCAGCACUCGGGAGGCUGAGGUGGGAGGAUCAUUUGAGUUCGAGACCAGCCUGGGCUACAAAGUGAGCUCAAGGCCCGCCUGAACUGCAUAGCGAGACCUCAUCUCAAAAAAAGACAAAAAAAAAAAAAAAAGAGAUUGGUGGGGAAACAUACUGCGUUAAGGUCAAUGAGGACCAAGGACAUGAUUGGAUAAACUCAAAGGAUCCUACUACACUGAUGAGUCACCCAAUCUCCAAUCUCAACAGGCAGAUUGUUGGACUCCAGAGAACUAGAUUCAAACAGCUUAUACUAAGCUAAAAGGAUCAUAAAAGAGAAAUACCUACCAUGAUUCCAAGGAAAUCCUUAUAAUCUGGCAACACUCUGUGGUCAUAAAAACAGAUAAUUAUAUUUAGUCUGCUCAUUUGUCAUUCUAAUUAAAUUAUAAGGACUUUAAACUUCUUAUAAAUAAAACAGGAAAGCGCCUAUAUGCACUUAAACUUCAACUGUUAUGUUUGGGUAAACAUCACAAAAUUGAGGUCAAUAUAAAAGAUAAAUGGCUUAGGCCUAGUGCUACUAAUUUCUGCCACUAUUCAUUAACAUUCUAGUUACAAUUUCAUACUCCUGCGAUUAAACAUGACUAUAAAAUAAUGCUUAAGUUUCAAUAACUAGCUAAUGUUCUUGGACCAUUGCUACACUAGCAAAGGUUCAUCAAAAGAAAAUCUUUGUCUCCUUAUCAUAUACUCAGGUUGAGACAUUUGAUCCAUGGCUAGACCUGAUAAAUGCCCUUUCUUGGCCAGAAGCACUUACAAAACACAGGCCAGCUGGCUUCUACAUCCUUUAUGAAAAAAAUAAUCAAAAGACUUUGAGGGGUAUAUUGAAAGAAAUAAAGAUACGUAAAUAGGAGACAAGUAAAAACCAUCAUUUUAAAAGUGGGAAAUUCAAUGUUUGAGUGUCUAGCCACUUUUUAUGCUUUGAUUUUGUAACUUUAACAACUAUUGUUAAGAUGACACAAAAUGUAAUGUAUCAAUUAGCAAUUUUAUGAUGUUAAUUUUUUAAAAUUCUGAAUUCUACUUUUCUCUCAUUUUUUCUAUUUUUUUUCUUUUUCUUUUUCUUUUCUUAAAGAAAAUAAAAAUUUUUAAAAAGUGGAAAAUUCAGCUUUAGGACACAAGUUCGAUUUAAACUUUUUUUUCUACUUGAGAAAAACUUAAUUUCCUUCCACCUAUGACUGGAUCACAUUUUUAACCUCUAAAUUAGGCAUUCUUGUUUAAGUAUACAAUUAUCAUAGUGUUGGAAACCAUCACUCCCCACCUACCAAAAGGAUCUUUUAAAUUACUAUAUUUGUAUAUGGUAAUUAGCUUAAUAUUUUCAUUCCUUAAUCUACAGAACAAGGGUUACAGAACACUAUGAUGAAUCAUUUUUUUAAUUUUUGCUCUAGUAAAACAGUCUAGGGCAAACAAAAAAUCAGCACAUGAGCCUGACGAUUCUCAUGACAUUCUGAAGUCACCAGAGAACACAAGACAUAGGGCUUCAGGAGUACUGCUGGUAAUGUUGUGUUUGCUGUAAGACUGAAGUUGAAGCAGAAAUAAGACAGGAUGCUGGGGUCUGCACUAUGAGCUGAGCACCAUACCACAGGCCAGAAGGAACUGAGAGUAAAACAAAAAAGAGGACAGGUCACAGACUUUGAAGAAUUCAUGGGAGGGCCCUGGGUUUAGCAUAUCCAAAAUAAUCUGUAUCCAUCUCAGAGGAUGCAACACCUCAAUUAGAUUUCUGGCUUCUCAGCCUAUACAGUUCCUAUAGAACAAGUAAUUCACCUAGGGUAGGGUGCCUGAAACUUGUGCUAUUUCUCAGCUAGGUCUAAUGUAUCACCAUGAAAAAUUAAGGAAGGCUCUACAUUAUGGAUCAGACUGAUUUUUCUGUUACUCCUCUUCUGUACAGCUCAUACAGCUAACCUGCAUCUCUUAAUAGCUGAAGAUCACAAAUGCACCCUCUGAGACCCAAGAGAACAGUAGAAAUGAUCCCUUAUGUGGCAAAGUGACAGAUCCCAUCCAAGACCAUCUCAUGGGGUAUUGAAAUGAUCCACCAAUGACUGAUUGCAUUUAAACUCAACUUGCUUCUGGCUUUCCACGGCAGGCAACUUCUAAGUGUAGUUAGUGGGCCUUUCAUGCUUCUCUUUCCUGAAAAUAGAGCAAUAAGUGUGCUUAGGUUUCUAGACUAUGGCUGAAGGAUUCAAAAGAACUCAGAAAAGAGGGCUGCCUGGAGAAUAUCAGGCCUCCUAGCAAAGCAAUGUCAUCUUUGAGUAGUGUGAAAUGAAGUAGCUGAAUUCACUGAUAAGGCUUUCUCAUGUUUAUUCAAUCCACUAAUCCUAUUUUACUUUUUCAAGAUUGGAAUUAAAUUCAGGGCAUUUGUACCAAUCUAUAUCCUCAAUCACUCAUGUUUUUGAGACAGGGUCUUAGUAUGUUGCCAACUUUCUCAGCAUGACUUCAAACCUGUAUAUCCGCAAUCCUUUCGUGUUGGCUUCUGAGUUCUCAGGUUACAGGAAUGCAGAAUCACACCUAGCUUGAUCCAUUUUACAAAAAAAAAAAAAAAAAAAAAAAAAAGGAAAACAAAACAAGGGAAUAUAGUUACUAAGAAACACAUAUAUUGCACUUAUUCAGAACAAUAUUCUAUAGAAUAAUCAGGAAAGAAGGAAAAUCACGUGCUUCAUCCAUGGGCAAAGGUAAAUCCACGUUCACACAGUUAUAAAUAUCUUUUCCAUGUGGAGGGGGAGAAAGAUUUUUCAAAUGCAGUGCCACAGUGAAUUCUGGUGAAGAGGCAACAAGUAAAAAUAUUAACUCUGAGAACUGACAAAUGGCCUGCUGCUCCCUUUUUCCACCAUAAAAAUACAACUUCCUUCCACCCUAGUAUUUACCAGAGGAACAGCCUUACCUGGAGUCACUCUGAGGCUCUCACUGAAAGUGUCUAGAAACUACAUAAAGGAAUCUGUCUCUGAGCCUGACCACAAAUUUUCAUGCACAAAAAUUAUAGACUGUUAGUAAAUCUAUGCAUGCCAAUAUCGUGUUAGAGAUUCCCCAGGUCAAUGGGGUUACAAUAUCAGAAAAAUGAUAAGGCCGUGGCUUUUGCCGUCUGCACGCCUCCGUAGCCCUUCACCACUUUGUGCCUUUUCAAGGUUCUUACUCAUUCUGUUGGUGUUAUAUCUUCGCUUGGAGACCACCUACAGGGAAGACUGCUGCCCAGAAAGUACAAACGAAAAUUCAUUGCUUUUUUUCUCCAUGCUCAAGUUUGGCCUCAUUUUCAAGCUAUGAUCCAUCUACAUGACAACAUUUUUAGAUUAAAUAAGUGAAGAUUAUUGAAUUCAAAUCACUGAACAUGACUUUGUGAGAAUUCAUGGUUCAUAUUAUGUUACAUCAUGAAGUACAAAUGAGGAAUGCCAAGACACUUAAUGUGGAUUUAAAUAUGGACAAAUAAAAAUCCUUUUGAGGCAACAAAGAUGAUUACAAAUUCAUAAUAUGUAGCCAAACUGGUUUGGGUAAUAACUUAUCAAACAUGAACUCACCUAUGUUCCUUCAGCCUCAUAGUUCUCCCAAGCCCUAGGGGAUGCUUGUCUCCUGGUGCUGUCUGCCUGGUAAUGUCUGUGUUCUUGGUGCCAUUUGAAACAGUCUCACUGUCUCAGCUCCAUUACUGUGCACCUGUCCUAUCUUUUUACAGUAAAUCCUCAAUGUUCUAUAAAUGCAUUUUCUUUUCAAAAUUUUAUACCUGCUUAAAUUUAUUUCUCUUGAGAUUCAGUCACACUUCAUGUGAAAACAUGGUACUUCCCUGAGGCAAAGAUAGAAAGUUUUCAAGCAUCUGUGUGAUUUAGACAUGAAAAUGGAAGAGUAGUUGUUUUGGGGCAAUUUACAUGCUGUUUGUCAUUUGGUAAGUUAAUCAGUCUUGUCUCUCUUUCAGACAACGUUUAUCCUGUCUUUUUUCCUGUUGUGAUAAGUCAGACAUAUAGGAAUUGUGUACCUCUCUAUUUAAAUUUAAAAAACCUAGUGACCUCUCUGAAAGGGAUAUGAUUUCAUUUGUCUAACAUAUGCUUCAACCAGUAGUCACUAACACACACAUAUAUACACACUCAUUCGCUUAACAUGUGACUAUGAAAAUUUUUAAUUGAUAAAUUAUGCCCACCUACAUUCAUAUUACUUAAUACUAUAAUGGUUAUUAUCCAUGGUGUAAUCAGUGUCAUGUGAACAUGCUGUCUCUCUGAAUGUUGCCCCUGUUCUAUUCACUCUUCUUGCCAUGGUCUGACAUCACACAAUAGCUAUAUUAUGAGGUAAGUUGAGAAAAUGAUGUGUCAUUAUGUUUAAUCAUGCUGAGAAUGGCAUGAUUUGAACAUUGUCAUUUUUUAUUUUGAAAUUUUUAAUACUAUUGGACUGUGCUAAAAGCUAGCAGAAUUCAUUUUUGGAUAAAAAGAUUAUAAAUACUUUACCUACUUCCACAGCCUUGGACACAUCUACUGGACAUAUAGAUGCACGGCGUGUGGCUCAAAAAUCAUGCAGCCCUGCAUCAAAGAUUUUAGUAGAUUAAUUUGAUGCUUUAGUUCUCAUGUACUGAACUUGCAUGCCUGUGACUAUCACACACUUGUGUUUCACAAUUUUGUCUUUCCAUUUCCAGGCUCACAGUGUUAUCUCAUACCUAUCAUUUGGGAUUCUCCUUAUUGGAAUCAUAUUCUGUGCAUUAUCUUUAGAAACAUAGGAAGGCUGCUGAAAUCAUUAUACACUUGUAUAUUCAGGAUGCUGCUAUUUAAAAAUGACUCACUAUUAUAGGUAUUCUGUUUGUCUUCCACUUUUACAAGAAAAAAAUUAAAAGUCAGUAAUCAGAAAAAGACAUUUUACAAAUGAAACAGGAUGAAGAAGUGAUGUAAGGUGGACAAAGGAGAUGGGAAGGAAAAAUGAAGAGCUCAGAUGUGCUGUACAUAUGUGCAAACUUCUGGCAAUGAAUGUAAACAUACAUUACAGGCAUGUAUGAAUAAAAGUCGUAUUAAGGA